CAAAAUGGUUUUGUGUUUGGUGCCCGUGAGUCGAUUUUUUUUGUUCUCCCAUACAAAUGAUUUUGCGGAAAAUAAAAAGUGGCCCACGAGGCAGUCCUGGCGUGCGGCCCACUAAAACGGUCUCGGAGGGUAUAUGAGAAGGGAGCAAAUCCGGCCGAGCGUGAAAGGGUGAGGACAACCCGGGCGAGCAACCUCUCAGUAUCAGAUCUUGCAGACUUCCACUGCGUGUCCCUCUGUACAGCUUUGCAGGCUCCGGCCUCGGCAGCGGGGGGUUCAUAGUGGUCGUCGACCUCCACGAAACUGCACGCUCCGGCGUGACAGCGUACUGGGGAUGCCUGUGUAGAUGCAGUCCGGGCUUGCCUGGACCGCUAGCAGAUGGGCUCUGUGGAUGACUGGCCGCUGGCUAGACCUGAAACCUGAGCAACGGGAGGUAACCUCUCGCCGCGGACACCGGAAUGGUAGAAGCGGCGUGCUGCGUCCUCCUCUUGGGGCCCCUAAGCCACACCUCCCACAGCGGGUUCGGUGCGGCGGACGGACGCCCUGGGGAAUUUAGAGGGGGAAAGCGGAUUGCCCUAGCGGUGUUGUUGGCCCUGCCGGCCUCACUGCGAAAGGCGCGACUUCACCGUCGCCACCCAGUAACUUGUCUCUCCGGCGCUUCACGGCGCUGGUGGCCAACCCCGGCACACGAUAGUUACCUGGUUGAUUCUGCCAGUAGUCAUAUGCUUGUCUCAAAGAUUAAGCCAUGCAUGUCUAAGUAUAAGCAAUUAUACCGCGAAACUGCGAAUGGCUCAUUAUAUAAGUUAUCGUUUAUUUGAUAGUACCUUACUACUUGGAUCUGAACGCCUAUAAGUCAGAUUCCACGCCAGAACGCGGUGAUACCACCCGCACGUAUAGAGGACAAGAAUAGGC
rnacentral:rRNA from 1 species